rnacentral:ncRNA from 1 species
AACCGCCGUGUACGGAACCGUACGCACGGUGGUGUGGGAGGGGGGACGCCGCAAGGCUCCCUCCCACCCGAU